CGGGGCGUAGUUCAGCCCGAGUGUCCCGGCGAAGGCAGGCAAAAGAAGUUGGAUCCGGUUAGAAUGCCUGCUGGAGCAGGAGGCCGUGGUUCGAAUCCAGCCGCCCCGA
rnacentral:tRNA from 1 species